rnacentral:lncRNA from 1 species
AGGCGGAAGGUCCUACUGCUGGAGAUGAAGAAGAAUCUGAGAAGUCAGUAUCUGAGGUGAAUGAUGAGGAUGAUGAUGAGGAGGGCAGUGGCGAGGUUUCUUUUUAUUCUUUUUUGCGUCAUUGCCUUGUGGUUUGUGGUAAUUAUUUGCAUGAUAUUUACUUGGUAUUGUUUAUUUCAUGCAGGAGGAGGAUGAUGAUUAGAGAGUGGACUGAUAACAAUUUAUGUAGGUUUUGAUGAUUUGGAUCAUCUUUUGUAGGUGGUCUGGUCAUUUCCUGAUGAUAAACAAACAUGUUUCUUUCUUCCAGAAAAAUAUUUCUCUGCUCCCUCCGUAAAAUUGUUUUGUCUGUCCAAAACGUGAAUAGUUGAAAGAUGGGAGAUCUUUAUUUGUACUUCUAAAUCCAACUGCUUAGUUAAGGGGUGCUUAUCUUUUGUAGAGCUUUUAGUUUGAUUUAGUUCUCUUGUUGAAAUCUGGUUAAGUUUGUAUGAAUAUAAUUGGCUUAUCUUCC